AUUGAACGCUGGCGGCAGGCCUAACACAUGCAAGUCGAGCGAGCGGCGGACGGGUGAGUAAUGUAUGGGGACUGCCCGAUAGAGGGGGAUAACUACUGGAAACGGUGGCUAAUACCGCAUACUGUCGGAUAUCCCAUAUGGGAUUAGCUAGUAGGUUAGGUAAUGGCUUACCUAGGCGACGAUCCCUCGCUGGUCGGAGAGGAUGAUCAGCCAAACUGGAACGGCGCAACGGCCAGGCCUCCUACGGAGGAACAGGUGGGGAAUAUUGGCCAAUGGGCGCAAGCCUACUGCAGCCAUGCCGCGUGUAUGAGGAGGGCCCUGGGGUUGUAAAGUACUUUCAGUCGGGAGGCGUUACCGACAGAAGAAGCACCGGCUAACUCCGUGCCAGCAGCCGCGGUAAUUC
rnacentral:rRNA from 1 species